rnacentral:lncRNA from 1 species
UCUUUUUGUGCAUUAAUUAAAAAUUAAUUUAGAAGCCAAGAGCCUGAUCCUGAUUUCAAGAAAAUCAAUGUUUAAACACCCACUGACUUUUACAGAAGAGAGAUAAACUUCUAAAUUAUUGACCACUGUUGCUUAUGUCAUCUGUUUGCAGCCCAGGUGUCUGGUUUCUUAAGAGAUUUUAGAUUCAAAGUAUUUCGUUAUCUCAAACCCUGAGUAAACUCAGACAGACUCAGACAUAAUCUGUACCAGUUUGACUAACCAAAGUUAUGCAUCACUCCCAUGAUGCUCUGGAUUUCUCUAACACUAGAUAGCACCUGUUUAACCUUUGUUCUCCCAGCCGUUCAGAGCAAGCAGAUCCAGUUCUGACCUGGCUAGAUCGUCACUGCCUCUCCAUACCAGCUACAGAAGGAUAUCUAUUCCUAAACAAAUAAUAGUUGCUCUGACCUCCUCUUAAGUCACCUUUCAAUCUGCCAGUCUUUCAAGAUCUCUUUAUUUCAGUAGUGUUGUCAUAGACAUGACUGCUUAAGGCUAUGGAAGAGGCAAGUUUUGUAGGAAGAGGAAAUAUUUUUCAUUAAAACAAGUGAUACAGCUGAAAAAAUUAGGCUGGAUUUCUGGCACCGAAAGAAAAAGGCUUGCUUUUCAGGCCCAAAGAAAGAUCUCUCACAUGUGCCAGAUACCUUCUUUACUAUCGUCUUCUCAAGAGAGGUGCCCUCUAUGCUUGUGCCCCUGCAGUUGCUGGCCACCUAAAAUGGAACAGAAAGCAGAAAUACAGAACAGGAGAGUCAAGGAAAUGGCACAAGUUUGACCAUCCCUGAGAAGAAAUGAGACAGCAUGUGUAACUCUUUUCCAGUUUUAAGAGCUGAUUAUCAUUGAUUGCUGUAAUAAUAAUUACUGCUCUUAAGUUAGAAACAAAAUACGGGGGAAAAUCAAGCUGGUAAUUAGAUUGAUGUCAUUUUAAUGACUUGACAGUUCACGGCCUGCAAGAAAACUUGAG